rnacentral:rRNA from 1 species
GAUGAACGCUGACAGAAUGCUUAACACAUGCAAGUCUUUGGCGAAGCUGUGCUUGCACAGCCUAGCCAAGGCGGACGGGUGAGUAACGCGUAAGGAACUUGCCCUGCAGUCAGGGAUAACAGACGGAAACGACUGAUAAGACCUGGUAAAGUCAGGCGGACUCAUGUCCAGCCUGAUGAAAAGAGAUGCUGCAGGAGAGCCUUGCGUCCUAUUAGCUUGUUGGUGGGGUAACGGCCCACCAAGGCGAUGAUAGGUAGCCGGCCUGAGAGGGUGGACGGCCACAAGGGGACUGAGAUACGGCCCUUACUCCUACGGGAGGCAGCAGUGGGGAAUAUUGGACAAUGGGGGCAACCCUGAUCCAGCAAUUCUGUGUGCACGAUGAAGGUUUUCGGAUUGUAAAGUGCUUUCGGCAGGGAAGAAAAAAAUGACGGUACCUGCAGAAGAAGCGACGGCUAAAUACGUG